UGCCCANCAACCGCGGGUAAUACGGAGGAUCCAAGCGUUAUCCGGAAUCAUUGGKUUUAAAGGGUUCGUAGGCGGAUAGAUCAGUCAGCGGUGAAAGUUUAUGGCUUAACCAUAAAAUUGCCGUUGAUACUGUUUAUCUUGAAUAAGUGUGAAGUGGUUAGAAURAGUAGUGUAGCGGUGAAAUGCAUAGAUAUUACUCGGAAUACCAAUUGCGAAGGCAGAUCACUAACACUUUAUURACGCUGAGGAACGAAAGCGUGGGGAGCAAACAGGAUUAGAUCCCUGGUAGUCCCAAG
rnacentral:rRNA from 1 species